AGAGUUUGAUCAUGGCUCAGGAUGAACGCUAGCGGGAGGCUUAACACAUGCAAGUCGAGGGCAGCACGGUCCAACGCAAGAAGGACUGGUGGCGACCGGCGCACGGGUGAGUAACGCGUAUGCAACCUACCCGUACUGGAGAAUAACCCGGAGAAAUUCGGACUAAUACUCCAUAACGAUAUAGAGAGGCAUCUUUUUAUAUUUAAAGCUCUGGCGGUACGGGCCGGGCAUGCGUAACAUUAGCUAGUUGGCAGGGUAACGGCCUACCAAGGCAACGAUGUUUAGGGGUCCUGAGAGGGUGAUCCCCCACACUGGUACUGAGACACGGACCAGACUCCUACGGGAGGCAGCAGUGAGGAAUAUUGGUCAAUGGGCGCAAGCCUGAACCAGCCAUCCCGCGUGAAGGAAGACGGCGCUAUGCGUUGUAAACUUCUUUUCCAGGGAAAUAAAAUCAGGUACGUGUACCGGAUUGAAGGUACCCUGGGAAUAAGCAUCGGCUAACUCCGUGCCAGCAGCCGCGGUAAUACGGAGGAUGCAAGCGUUAUCCGGAUUUAUUGGGUUUAAAGGGUGCGUAGGCGGGAAAAUAAGUCAGUGGUGAAAUCCUACAGCUUAACUGUAGAAUUGCCGUUGAUACUGUUUUUCUUGAGUAUGGUCAAGGAAGGCGGAAUGUGUAAUGUAGCGGUGAAAUGCUUAGAUAUUACACAGAACACCAAUUGCGAAGGCAGCUUUCUGGCCCAUUACUGACGCUGAGGCACGAAAGCGUGGGGAUCGAACAGGAUUAGAUACCCUGGUAGUCCACGCCGUAAACGAUGAUCACUAGCUGUUGGCGAUAUACUGUCAGCGGCAAAGCAAAAGCAUUAAGUGAUCCACCUGGGGAGUACGGCCGCAAGGCUGAAACUCAAAGGAAUUGACGG
rnacentral:rRNA from 1 species